AUUGAACGCUGGCGGCAGGCCUAACACAUGCAAGUCGAACGAGUGGCGGACGGGUGAGCAAUGUCUGGGAAACUGCCUGAUGGAGGGGGAUGACUACUGGAAACGGUAGCUAAUACCGCAUACCAUCAGAUGGGGCGAGAUGGGAUUAGCUUGUUGGUGGGGUAACGGCUCACCAAGGCGAAGAUCCCUAGCUGGUCUGAGAGGCUGACCAGCCACACUGGGACUGAGACACGGUCCAGACUCCUACGGGAGGCAGCAGUGGGGAAUAUUGCACAAUGGGCGAAAGCCUGAUGCAGCAAUGCCGCGUGUAUGAAGAAGGCCUUCGGGUUGUAAAGUACUUUCAGCGGGGAGGCGUUACCCACCGAAGAAGCACCGGCUAACUCCGUGCCAGCAGCCGCGGUAAUUC
rnacentral:rRNA from 1 species